UACGUAGGGUGCAAGCGUUAAUCGGAAUUACUGGGCGUAAAGCGUGCGCAGGCGGUUUUGUAAGUCUGUCGUGAAAUCCCCGGGCUCAACCUGGGAAUUGCGAUGGAGACUACAAGGCUAGAGUCUGGCAGAGGGGGGUAGAAUUCCACGUGUAGCAGUGAAAUGCGUAGAGAUGUGGAGGAACACCGAUGGCGAAGGCAGCCCCCUGGGUCAAGAUUGACGCUCAUGCACGGAAAGCGUGGGGAGCAAACAGG
rnacentral:rRNA from 1 species